rnacentral:rRNA from 1 species
AUUGAACGCUGGCGGCAGGCCUAACACAUGCAAGUCGAGCGGAUGAAGGGAGCUUGCUCCUGGAUUCAGCGGCGGACGGGUGCGUAAUGCCUAGGAAUCUGCCUGGUAGUGGGGGAUAACGUCCGGACACGGGCGCUAAUACCGCAUACGUCCUGAGGGAGAAAGUGGGGGAUCUUCGGACCUCACGCUAUCAGAUGAGCCUAGGUCGGAUUAGCUCGUUGGUGGGGUAAAGGCAUACCAAGGCGACGAACCGUAACUGGUCUGAGAGGAUGAUCAGUCACACUGGAACUGAGACACGGUCCAGACUCCUACGGGAGGCAGCAGUGGGGAAUAUUGGACAAUGGGCGAAAGCCUGAUCCAGCCAUGCCGCGUGUGUGAAGAAGGUCUUCGGAUUGUAAAGCACUUUAAGUUGGGAGGAAGGGCAGUAAGUUAAUACCUUGCUGUUUUGACGUUACCAACAGAAUAAGCACCGGCUAACUUCGUG